rnacentral:lncRNA from 1 species
GUUGCAUCGAGUAGAUUAAUCUAGCUUCCAUUAUGUAAUUAAACACGUUUACAUUAUUAUAUAUAUCGUGAUGUGGCUAGAGAAGACACAAACAUCAAAAGGUUCAGAUGGUUAGUGUGUGGCUUUUAAAACUCAGAGGUUCAAGGCUCGAUUCUUAGUUGAAGCUUUUUUAUUUUUUUUAAUAUUAUAUUAAACAUUUUAACUGUAUAGUAUUGCAACAACAAUAAAACUAUUAGCAAUGGAAAAUCGAUCGUGGCA